rnacentral:rRNA from 1 species
AGAGUUUGAUCCUGGCUCAGAACGAACGCUGGCGGCAGGCCUAACACAUGCAAGUCGAGCGCUCCGCAAGGAGAGCGGCGCACGGGAGAGUAACGCGUGGGAACCUACCUUUUGGUUCGGAAUAACAUCGGGAAACUGGUGCUAAUACCGGAUAAGCCCCCUGGGGGAAAGAUUUAUCGCCGAAAGAUGGGCCCGCGUUGGAUUAGCUAGUUGGUGAGGUAACGGCUCACCAAGGCAACGAUCCAUAGCUGGUCUGAGAGGAUGAUCAGCCUCACUGGGACUGAGACACGGCCCAGACUCCUACGGGAGGCAGCAGUGGGGAAUAUUGGACAAUGGGGGCAACCCUGAUCCAGCCAUGCCGCGUGAAUGAUGAAGGCCUUCGGGUUGUAAAGUUCUUUUGACGGGGACGAUGAUGACGGUACCCGUAGAAUAAGCUCCGGCUAACUUCGUGCCAGCAGCCGCGGUAAUACGAAGGGAGCUAGCGUUGUUCGGAAUUACUGGGCGUAAAGGGCGCGUAGGCGGUUUAGCAAGUUGGAUGUGAAAGCCCAGGGCUCAACCCUGGAAUUGCAUUCAAGACUGCUUUACUUGAAUUCGGUAGAGGUUGGUAGAAUUCCCAGUGUAGAGGUGAAAUUCGUAGAGAUUGGGAAGAAUACCCGUGGCGAAGGCGGCCAACUGGACCGACAUUGACGCUGAGGCGCGAAAGCGUGGGGAUCAAACAGGAUUAGAUACCCUGGUAGUCCACGCCGUAAACGAUGCAUGCUAGACGUUGAAGGGCUUAGCCCUUUUGUGUCGCAGCUAACGCACUAAGCAUGCCGCCUGGGGAGUACGGCCGCAAGGUUGAAACUCAAAUGAAUUGACGGGGGCCCGCACAAGCGGUGGAGUAUGUGGUUUAAUUCGACGCAACGCGAAGAACCUUACCAACCUUUUGACAUGUCCAGUAUGGGGUUUGAGAGAUCAGAUCCUUUCGGUU